GAUUAUGGCCAUACCACCCUGAACAUGCCCAAUCUCAUCUGAUCUUAGAAGCUAAGCAGGGCUGGGCCUGGUUGGUACUUGGAUAGGAAAAAAAGAAUUCCACAUUAC
rnacentral:rRNA from 1 species